rnacentral:lncRNA from 1 species
UUGAUCAAGACUGUUCGAAGCAAAUUCAAUUUAUAUGGUUCGUCCAAACCUUCAACUACUACAAGGUGUGGCUUGCAUCACAAUCUCUUGCUUAACAGUGUGGAAGAAAAAUUUGUAUAUGUUAUCUCUCCCACAUUUUCAAAUUUCUAGUUUCCCAAAAAAAAAAAGGGAAAUUCAACAAAUUUUUAGUUUUCACAAAAAAUAAAAAAAUAAAAUUGGGAAAUUCAACAAAGCUUCAUCAAUGAAGGACAACUACAAAUUCUCAAAAGCUUCACACUAUCUUGACCAAGAUAGCGCGAAGGAAAAUCAAUUUAUGGUACCCAACAAAGCUUCA